CCAACCCAUUUAAUUUGUCAUUGUCUUCAUUGGAGGUCUGUCACCUUUGCAACACCGAUUACGGUUGUGGUCAGCGGGCGUAGGUAUGGGCGGAGACGAACAAUGGCGGCCUGGAAUUUAUAAUUGCUAGCAUCAUGAAGAAGUUCUUCACGUUCUUUGGGUCGCUUUCGUUCUUGCCAUCAUUGAAUUUGAGAUAGUUGCAGCUCUCUCUCCCUCCUAUCGCCACCGCCAAGAUCCUCCAUCAGUUCCUCAAGAUCACAAGAUGACGGCGUUUCCUUCUGAUUGAAUCAUCUACGAUCCAGACAAUACAAUCCAUCAGGUUUUAUUUGCUUUCAAUGCCCCUGUAUUUGACGACCCUGAUGUCACAAUUAUUGGUGGUGGAAUGUCGAGUCUUCAUUGUGUUGGAGAUACAAAAAGCAAUCGUGAAAUAUAAUAUAAAAAGCAAGAAAGAAAGUGCGUUUGAG